rnacentral:rRNA from 1 species
AUUGAACGCUGGCGGCAGGCCUAACACAUGCAAGUCGAGCGGAUGCAGGGAGCUUGCUCCUGGAUUCAGCGGCGGACGGGUGAGUAAUGCCUAGGAAUCUGCCUGGUAGUGGGGGAUAACGUCCGGAAACGGGCGCUAAUACCGCAUACGUCCUGAGGGAGAAAGUGGGGGAUCUUCGGACCUCACGCUAUCAGAUGAGCCUAGGUCGGAUUAGCUAGUUGGUGGGGUAAAGGCCUACCAAGGCGACGAUCCGUAACUGGUCUGAGAGGAUGAUCAGUCACACUGGAACUGAGACACGGUCCAGACUCCUACGGGAGGCAGCAGUGGGGAAUAUUGGUCAAUGGGCGAAAGCCUGAUCCAGCCAUGCCGCGUGUGUGAAGAAGGUCUUCGGAUUGUAAAGCACUUUAAGUUGGGAGGAAGGGCAGUAAGUUAAUACCUUGCUGUUUUGACGUUACCAACAGAAUAAGCACCGGCUAACUUCGUG